rnacentral:rRNA from 1 species
UACGACGUGUGCCCGCGUUAAUCGGAAUUACUGGGCGUAAAGCGCGCGUAGGUGGUUCGUUAAGUUGGAUGUGAAAGCCCCGGGCUCAACCUGGGAACUGCAUCCAAAACUGGCGAGCUAGAGUAUGGCAGAGGGUGGUGGAAUUUCCUGUGUAGCGGUGAAAUGCGUAGAUAUAGGAAGGAACACCAGUGGCGAAGGCGACCACAUGGGCUAAUAAGGAAACGGAGGUGAGCAAGCGGGGGGAGCACACAGGCGGCGAUAACAGUGUAGUCC